AAGCAGCGGUAUAAACGCAGAGUAGGUGGGGUGCCCGGAGAAUUUCGGGAACACGAUUUUCAGAGACACUUAGAAGAUUGUGUGGUGUGUUGUGUAGUGCAAAAGUCUCAGAAAAGACUGGAAGGAACACAGAGUGGUAAAACAGCGGGACUCUGGGUGAGAGUUGGCGGACUAAUUUACCAAAA